UGUUUAGCUUUAUAUAUAUAUAUAUAUAUCUAACCCUAAGUAUUUGUUCUUGCAGGUUUGAGCAAUCUUCGAAGAACACAGCAAUCAAUAGACAAAAAAUUAGGGAUAUUUAUAUAUAUUCAAGAAACACACAUCAGAUGCAAGUAUAGAUUCAAGUAAAAGAAAGAAAGUAGAGAGAGAAGAAGAACACAGAGGAAUUUAUAGAGGUUCACCCCAAAAUUGGGGCUAAUCCUCUUUGAGCUCGCCUCAGAGAACAAUGGAGCUCAAUCUGCACUAACAGUGAUCUUUGGUUACAAUAUACUUGAAGAUUCCAGUCACAGUAACAUCAACAGAAAAAUCACUCUCAAGCUCUGGCUUUUUCCGAUUACAAGAUGAGAUCUAUUUUCUCUCUCAGCUUUGCCUUUUAUAUAUAUUACAUAUAGAGAAAAAAAAAAAAAAAAGAAUAAAGAAUAGACUGAGUACAACUGUAAUUCUGUUUAGAAUAAAGGAAAAAAUCUGUUAGAGCCAAAUUGGCUGAGCUGGAACUUGAGUCUGUUGUAACUGAUUUUUUUGUAUUUAACUUGAUUUGAUGAAUAUGGCUCUAUGCGAGAAUUUGUCUUCCAACAAUUUCCACCCAAGUUCUCAUAUAGAGUCAACAUCUUAGUGCAUCAGUUCUCUGAGGGUCUUAACUCUGUAACCUGCCCUUUAACCUCCUGUAUCGACCCCUAGCAAAUUCAUACAAUGUUUGAAUUUGUGAAGGGUCACAAUUUUAGUACCUAUGUCUGCAGGGUUUUCUUCUGUAGGGACUUUCUUUAUGUUCACUAGCCUCUGUGUCACCUUAUCCCUUAUAAAAUGGAACUUUAUUUCUACAUGCUUAGUCCUAUCAUGAAAGACAGGAUUUUUACACAAGUGAAUGCAACUCUGGCUGUCAGAGUAAAUAGUAGGUGUACCUUUAGUUUUGGUGAUUUCUUCCAUGAGUCCCUGUAACCAGAUUGCUUCUUUAAUGGCCUCUGUUACUGCUAUGUAUUCUGACUCAGUAGUUGAUAGAGCUACUACAGGUUGAAGUUGUACCUUCCAGCUUAUACAACAUCCGUCAAUCAUAAAAUAAUAGGCUGAAGUAGAUCUCCUGUUGUCCUUGUCCCCUGCGAAAUCUGCAUCACUAUACCCUUCAAUCUCUAAUUUGGUAUUUUGCUUUCUGUAGACUAGUCCAACUUUAGCUGUACCCAAAAGAUAUCUAAAUGUCCAUUUCAUAGCAAGCCAGUGCUCUUUUCCUGGGUUGGCCAUAUAUUUACUUAGGAUACUCAUAGCAUGGGCUAGGUCAGGUCUUGUACAUACCAUAAGAUACAUGACAGAUCCUACAGCAUUAGAGUAAGGCACAUUACUCAUAUAUUCUGUCUCUUCUUUUGUGGUAGGACACUGAGCUUUUGACAACUUAUGUUGACUAGUUAUUGGCUGUUUGGUAACUUUAGCACCUUUCAUGGAAAACUUUUCAAUCACCUUGUAUAUGUAGUCUUCUUGACUUAAGGUCAGCUUCCCUUUAUCUCUGUCUCGUUUAAUGCUCAUUCCCAGGAUUUUAGUUGCAGCACCUAGGUCCUUCAUCUCGAAUUCUGCCUUUAGGAGGUUCUUCAAAUUUUCAAUUUUGGCCUUUUCUUUGCUUAUAAGUAACAUAUCAUCCACAUACAGUAACAAAUAGGUAGCUGUAGUAAUAUUAGACCCCUUAAAGUAUAAGCAGGUAUCAUAGUAGCUUUUUCCAAACCCUUGCUUUGACAUAAAUGUAUCAAACAUUCUAUUCCAUUGCCUUGGUGACUGUUUUAACCCAUAUAAAGACCUUUCUAGUUUGCAAACUAAGUCCUCAUGCCCUUUCUUUAUGAAACCUUUAGGCUGCUCCAUAUAAAUGUCUUCUUCUAAUUCUCCGUGAAGGAAAGCAGUGGUGACAUCCAUUUGUUCCACUUCUAAGUCAAACUGAGUUGAUAAAGCUAGCAUAACUCUAAUAGUCUUAUACUUGACAACUGGAGAAAAAAUUUAUGUGAAGUCAAUCCCUUCCUUUUGAGUGAACCCCUUAGCAACUAACCUUGCCUUGAAUCUACAUGGUUCCCCUUUGUUUGUACCUUCCUUUAGCUUGUAUAACCAUUUGCAAGCUAUAAUACUUUUCCCUUUAGGCUUUCUAGUUAAUUUCCAUGUAGAGUUUUUCAGUAGUGACUUCAUUUCCUCUUCCAUGGCUCUCUUCCAUUGGGCAGAGUUUCGGUCCUUGAUGGCUUCUUCAUAAGAGUUAGGCUCACUACAACUAAUUUCCAUGGCACUUAGAAAAGCAUAGGCCAUAACUUCAUUCCAAGCAUUGAAACUAAACCUUUGAGUGGGUUUGGAGACUCUUUUAGCUCUGUCUCUGGUCAGUUGAUAUUCACAUAAAUUUUCAGUCUCUUCUUGAUGUUGUUCAUGAUCUGCAUUAGUCUCUGUGUGUUCCUCAUUAGGUGGUUCCACCUGAAUCUGAUCUGCCUGAACUUGUUCUUCAAGAACUGGUUCCACCUGAUUGAUGUCGGGUUCAUUAUUUAUGGGUUCAUCUUGACCUUUUUCUGGUGGUAGAAUAAUAGAGCUUCCUGCAAGGUUAGUAUCCAAAAUAUCUGCACCAGAAUUUUUGUUAGAUAAGCAAGGAAAAAUAUUUUCAUUGAAAAUUAUAUCUCUGCAUAUGAUAAUUUUAAAACCACCUUUUUCCUUUACCCAAAGCCUAUAUCCCUUAACACCCUCGGGAUAGCCUAGGAACACACAUUUCACAGCUCUAGGUUCCAAUUUUCCCACAUUUUGGUGUGCAUAAGCAACACAACCAAAGACUCUAAGGUGAGACAGGUCUGGAGGUUUUCCUGACCAUUUUUCUUCUGGUGUCUUUAGUUCUAUAGCACUAGAGGGACACCUAUUAAUUAGAUAAGUUGCUGUCAUCACAGCUUCUCCCCAAAAAACCUGAGACAGACCUGAAUUGAAAAGCAUACACCUAGAUUUAUUAAGAAUGGUUCUAUUCAUUCUUUCAGCUACCCCAUUUUGUUGGGGUGUAAGCCUGACUGACCUGUGCCUCAAAAUACCAUUGUCUCUGCAAUAAGAGUCAAAUAAAUCAUUGCAAAACUCUAGGCCAUUGUCAGUCCUUAAAACCUUAAUUUUCUUAUUCGUUUGAUUUUCCAUUAAGAUUUUCUAAUGAACAAAUUUCUGGAAAGCAUCACUUUUAUGUUUAAGUAGAAAAACCCAAACUUUCCUAGAGUAGUCAUCCACUAUAGACAAAAAAUAAGAACAACCCCCAUGAGUGCUAGUUUUUUCUGGUCCCCACAAAUCAGCAUGCAAAUAUUCUAAAAUUCCUCUAGACUUGUGUGUACCAGUUUUAAAUUUAAGUCUAUGAUGCUUCCCUAAAAUGCAAUAUUCACAAAAAUCAACUUUAGUUACCUUAUCCUUACCUAGAAGGUUUUGUUGACUGAUUAUUUGCAAUCCUUUCUCACUAAUAUGGCCUAGCCUCCUGUGCCAUAGUGUUGCCUUAUCAUCUUCUGGUGAGAUAGCCACAGUUGAGUUGCAUUUUGCAACUGGUUCUCCACACAAAUAAUACAGUCCUUCACUUUUCUUCCCUUUCAUAAUUACCAUUGAGCCUUUGCAUAAUUUGAUUUGCCCAUCCUUGAUUUUGCUUUCUACAUGCAAGUCAUCAAGAACACUUAGUGAAAUCAAAUUUCUAGCAAGUUUAGGAACAUACCUGACAUUUGUUAGUGACCUAAUUAUUCCAUCAAACAUUCUGAAACUGACAGUCCCAGAUCCUUCUAUCUCACAUGUCUGGUUGUUUCCCAAAAUUACUUUCCCUCCACUUGCUUCCCUGAAAUCAGAAAUUAUAGACUUGUUAUUAGUCAUAUGAAAAGUACAACCUGAGUCUAUGAUCCAGUCAUUAUUAAAUGUGGCAGCAGCUACAUAAACUUCUCCACUCUCAUAUCCAUCGGUGAGAUUUGCAUUUUGUUGAUCAUUCUUGUGUUUUGAUGAAUAAAAAUCUGACUUCUGGGUAUUUCUUUCUUGAUUUUCUGAUUUGUAUUUGUUCUUUCUUUGCCACAAAUAGCAGUCUCUUUUCAUAUGUCCAGGUUUACCACAGUGAUAACACCCUUGUGUGUCAUUAGGACCUCUUGAACUAGACCUCCCUCGAUCAUGAUGCCCAGUUCCUUUGUGAUAACUUUUGCUUAUACUUCUCCCCUUGUUGUGCCAAGGCUUUCUUUGACUAGUGCUUCCUCUGCUGAGAUUCAGUUCCCCAUUUGAACUUCCCAAUUUUUCAGUUUUCAUUUCCAAAUCCUUGGACUUAAGAGCUGAUAUAACCUCUUCCAAAGUUAUUGAUGUUCUCCCAUAUUUGAUGGCUGUUUUGACUUCUCUGUAUGAUUCUGGAAGUGAAUUAAGAAUGAUGAUAGCUUGAUUUUCAUCACUGAGAGCCUCAUUUUCCCCUGAGUUUGCUAGCUCAAUAUGCAUUCUAAGAAACUCAUCAAGAUUCUGUUCUAAUGACUUUGAAUGACUCAUCUUGUAUCCAAAAAUUCUUUCUUUAAGAAAAAUCUUGUUUGUCAAAGAUUUCUGUUGAAAUUGUUCUUCUAGCUUUUUCCAAAUCUUUGCAGGUGUUUCCUCUUUAUCAACUAAUCUGAUUAUAGCAUCAGAUAGGUUGAAAAUGAUGAGUCCAGUAGCUGUUUCAAGAUACUCUUCCUGUUGUAUCUUUGAGGUAUUUUCUGGCCAUUCAAUUGGGUCCUCCAACACCCUUAGCAGUUUUUGUUGUGCAAGUAAAGACCUUAUCUUCCUCCUCCAGAUUCUAUAGUCACCUGAACCAUCAAAUUUAUCUAUAUCAGCUUUAACAUUACUCAUUAUAUCAGUAUUAAUAUCUAAAGUAAUUUGAGUUAGAAUGUUCUCAGCCAAGUUUUCCAGAGGAAUGUCUUCGAAUUCUUCAGAGUUGAAUCCAGGCACUUGGGGAUCUUUCUCCUCCAGCCUUGCUAGUUGAUUUUAUCACUUUGUGUGUCUGAAACUUCCAGCCAAAGAACCUGGCUCUGAUACCACUGUAGGGAUUUUACUAAACUGUCCCUACACAACUCACACAAUCAAUUAGCAACACAAGGUCUCAAGUGACCUUUCUUUGACCUGGUACAAGCACACACAUAUCAAGCACGUGUACACAGCAGAAUUGUUUAGCUUUAUAUAUAUAUAUAUAUAUCUAACCCUAAGUAUUUGUUCUUGCAGGUUUGAGCAAUCUUCGAAGAACACAGCAAUCAAUAGACAAAAAAUUAGGGAUAUUUAUAUAUAUUCAAGAAACACACAUCAGAUGCAAGUAUAGAUUCAAGUAAAAGAAAGAAAGUAGAGAGAGAAGAAGAACACAGAGGAAUUUAUAGAGGUUCACCCCAAAAUUGGGGCUAAUCCUCUUUGAGCUCGCCUCAGAGAACAAUGGAGCUCAAUCUGCACUAACUGUGAUCUUUGGUUACAAUAUACUUGAAGAUUCCAGUCACAGUAACAUCAACAGAAAAAUCACUCUCAAGCUCUGGCUUUUUCCGAUUACAAGAUGAGAUCUAUUUUCUCUCUCAGCUUUGCCUUUUAUAUAUAUUACAUAUAGAGAAAAAAAAAAAGAAAAAAAAAGAAUAAAGAAUAGACUGAGUACAACUGUACUUCUGUUUAGAAUAAAGGAAAAAAUCUGUUAGAGCCAAAUUGGCUGAGCUGGAACUUGAGUCUGUUGUAACUGAUUUUUUUGUAUUUAACUUGAUUUGAUGAAUAUGGCUCUAUGCGAGAAUUUGUCUUCCAACAGUCUGUGAUAUAGUGUACGUUAGUUUCGACAUGUUUAGUUCUUGAGUGAAAAACCAGCUUGUCUGCAAGUUGCUUGGCCCAUGAAUUGUGACCAUAGAAUCCCUGGACUUGGUAAUUGAAUGCCUAUUUCAGUGAGCAGAGAUUUGAGCCAAGAUACUUCUUUGGAAGCUUGAGCUAGUGCCCUGUAUUCUGCUGCAGUGCUAAAAUGUGCUACAGACCUUUGUUUCUUUGAGCUCCGUGCAACUAGAUUGCCUAAAAAAUACAUGCAAUAUCUAAUGGUUGAUUUUCUUACA